AUGCAGAUCACGUGAGAAUUAAUUUUCCCCGUGACGUCAUAAUGGCGGGAAAGUAAUGGCUGGCCUUGUGUUGCUUUUUGUGCAAUUGAUAUGAUGCUGGAUGGUUUAUAGUUCUAUAUAACAGCCUCAAACUGAAAGCAAGGAUGUGUAGAAUCAUUAGUGAAACAGACCAGAACAGUUCAAUAUUAGUGAUGCAAUUGGCCAAUCAAUAGAUGAUCUUGUAUGCAAAGAUUUGUUUUGAUACUGUUGUCGCAAACGACAGGGGCAUCCAUUAUAGUCCAGGCUCAGAAUCAUUAGUAAGUCAUUCUACUUUAAUGAAGUGGUCUGAAAUAUUUAUAGAGCGUGAUUGUACACCAGUCAUUGCUUCAUAUUUUGUGCUGAGGACUUUCAGAUAUCACAGCAUCCUGAUUUCUGGCUGGAACAACUUUAAACUUC